AACCAAAAUACACUGCUGUCCACAAUAUUCAUUUUUUCGAUGACUUCUGUGUUUCGUUUUACAAAGUACCAUUUUCUGGAUUACUCCUCAAUGGAUUACAUGUGGUCAUUGUGUUUGCUUCCAGGUUAACAGGAACAAGCACAGGAGUCAGCAAGGUCAAAUGCCCAAUGUGCAGCAGUUCAUACACUGGAAGAAGUCCGAGAGACACCGACCCAAAUUAAUUCAGGCUAUGAUGCAACUCUAAACUUCUAGAGUGAUUAGCAGAACAUCCUGCCUACAUGGCAGACCUGAGUUCUGAGUCACCUCCACGUGGAAUCUCAUUACCAGUGAAAGAGCAACCAUGGGGGUCUUACCCAUCUAAUACAUUUACAUCACAAGCCGACCAAAGCUAAGCGGUCAAUGAGCAGUAUCAGAACAGAAGCAGCACACAAGAGACAGAAUGCAAGGCCAUCAGAUGUGCUCAGAGGAGAUCUCUCCGUAUCCUGAUCUAGCUUUUCCACUCCUAGGAAACCCCAGCACCAUUGUUGCUGGCAAUGAGCUGUCUGCAGCUCAUUCUACCUGGCCCUUCUACUUAACAGGGGAUAUGACAGGUGCUUGGACUGGAGUCACUCACCAGCUGUUGCCUGUUGAAGGACUCAUGGAAUAGUAGAUUUUCACCCAAAGAAGUGGGGUCAGGAAGCCCAGACUCCAGCUCCUGACCUCCCAGCAGCCCUCCCCGGUAAAACCACAGUUCAUGGACCUGAGGAUCCCUGAAGAUGCCUACUGGAUGACAAAGGGUUGUGAAGCCGUCUUGGAGAGAGAUGAUUUACACAAAUGUAAGAGACCUGAGCCACAUACUUAUCAGCAUGGCCGCAGCAAGACUGCAAAGAAGCAUCUAAGGCUGCUGGGUGCCCAAGGAUGGGCGAACCUCCACCCUCACGCACCCUUCCCUCUCCUCACUGACCCAGAAGUGGUCACUCCCAAGCAUCUAUCUGCAACAGACACCGCCAGGUCUAACAAGAGCAGCACAGGAGCCCUCAGAGAGGCUGAACCCUGAGACUAGAAGCACAACCUGGCAAGUGCUGGUCUCUGGUUAGAAGACUGUGUUCAGAGUCCUGUGAAUUCCCACAUCUGGCAGAGGCAUUUUAGGAGACAUCUUACAUUCAGCUUAUAACAUGACCAAAAAAAGUUGGGGAUAUAAAUUGUGUCAUCUUUUUAAAAGAAUAUUUUCUAAAGGAGUACAUCUCUUGACCUUGAAAUUCUACAGAAUUGCCAAGAAUGACCUACAAAAAAAAAAAAAAGUCUCACAAAAAUACUCAAUGCAAUAUAAAAGAAAAAAUUGGGGGGGAUGUAUGUGGGAAAAAGAUGUCUAGAACAGGGAAAUAGUUACCAAGCAUUAUCUUUCCAUAUUAAAGUAUGCAAAGAAAUAAUGAUAUUGGAAUAAUAAUAACAAAGGAAUAUGUAGUCUUUAAAUAUGAGUUUUAUAUUAGCAUAAAUAAACGUUCUUGAUAAUUAGGUAUCCAAAUGCA
rnacentral:lncRNA from 1 species